AUUGAACGCUGGCGGAAUGCUUUACACAUGCAAGUCGAACGGCAGCACGGACUUCGGUCUGGUGGCGAGUGGCGAACGGGUGAGUAAUGUAUCGGAACGUGCCCAGUCGUGGGGGAUAACGUAGUGAAAAUUACGCUAAUACCGCAUACGAUCUAUGGAUGAAAGCGGGGGAUCGCAAGACCUCGCGCGAUUGGAGCGGCCGAUAUCAGAUUAGGUAGUUGGUGGGGUAGAGGCCCACCAAGCCAGCGAUCUGUAGCUGGUCUGAGAGGACGACCAGCCACACUGGAACUGAGACACGGUCCAGACUCCUACGGGAGGCAGCAGUGGGGAAUUUUGGACAAUGGGCGCAAGCCUGAUCCAGCCAUUCCGCGUGCAGGAUGAAGGCCCUCGGGUUGUAAACUGCUUUUGUACAGAACGAAAAGGUUUCUACUAAUACUAGGAGUUCAUGACGGUACUGUAAGAAUAAGCACCGGCUAACUACGUGCCAGCAGCCGCCGUAA
rnacentral:rRNA from 1 species